UUACUACACCCUCCGUUCCGAAUUACUUGUUUUAGAUUUGUCUAGAUACGGAGGUAUCUAGCAUUAAAAUGAGUCUAGAUACAUUCGUAUCUAGACAAAUCCAAGACAAGUAAUUUGGAACGGAGAGAGUAAUAU
rnacentral:pre_miRNA from 1 species